rnacentral:rRNA from 1 species
CCUACGGGCGGCAGCAGUGAGGAAUAUUGGUCAAUGGACGAGAGUCUGAACCAGCCAAGUAGCGUGAAGGAUGACUGCCCUAUGGGUUGUAAACUUCUUUUAUAUGGGAAUAAAAUGUUCCACGUGUGGGAUUUUGUAUGUACCAUAUGAAUAAGGAUCGGCUAACUCCGUGCCAGCAGCCGCGGUAAUACGGAGGAUCCGAGCGUUAUCCGGAUUUAUUGGGUUUAAAGGGAGCGUCGGUGGAUUGUUAAGUCAGUUGUGAAAGUUUGCGGCUCAACCGUAAAAUUGCAGUUGAAACUGGCAGUCUUGAGUACAGUAGAGGUGGGCGGAAUUCGUGGUGUAGCGGUGAAAUGCUUAGAUAUCACGAAGAACUCCGAUUGCGAAGGCAGUUCACUGGACUGCAACUGACACUGAGGCUCGAAAGUGUGGGUAUCAAACAGGAUUAGAUACCCCAGUAGUC